AUGGAAUGGAGCUGGAUCAUCCUCUUCAUAUUUUCUGUGACUACAGGUGUCCACUCCGAGGUUCAGCUGCAGCAGUCUGGGGCUGAGCUGAGCCUGGGUCCUCAGUGAAGUUGUCCUGCAAGGCUUCUGGCUACACCUUCACUGACUACUAUAUGCACUGGGUGAAGCAGAGUCCUGGACAAGGCAUGGAAUGGAUUGGAUGGAAUAAUCCUUCAAGUGGUGGUACUGGCUACAAUCAGAAGUUCAAGGGAAAGGCCACACUGACCGCAGACACAUCCUCCAGCACAGCCUACAUGGAGCUCAGCAGCCUGACAUCUGAGGACUCUGCUGUCUAUUACUGUGCAAGACACAGUGCUGCAACCACAUCCUGA